rnacentral:tRNA from 1 species
AAGGGAGACCUAAUUCGGGUAGAAGACGAAAAAAUAGUAGUCGAAACCAAGAAUCAAUCCCAAAAGGUCGGAACGAGGUAUGUGGCUUUCAAACUAGGUUCUGGGUUCACAAAAGACCUGAAUCAGGAACAAGGGCUAUUAGCUCAGGUGGUUAGAGCGCACCCCUGAUAAGGGUGAGGUCCCUGGUUCGAGUCCAGGAUGGCCCACCUGCACAGGUGGCAAAAACAAGAGAAACGAGGAAUCAGCACCUUAUCUUACCUACAUAGUAAGAGAGAAUGCUGGCUCUGAGUAAAGAGUCCAGAGGAACCUUGAAAACUGCAUAGAGCUAGGUGAAAAAGCCAAAAAAGAAGACCGCAA